rnacentral:misc_RNA from 1 species
GAUGAAGAACGUAGCGAAAUGCGAUAAUUAAUGUGAAUUGCAGAAUUCCGUGAAUCAUCGAAUCUUUGAACGCACAUUGCGCCCGCCAGUAUUCUGGCGGGCAUGCCUGUUCGAGCGUCAUUACAACCCUCAGGCCCCCGGGCCUGGCGUUGGGGAUCGGCGGAAGCCCCCUGCGGGCACAACGCCGUCCCCCAAAUACAGUGGCGGUCCCGCCGCAGCUUCCAUUGCGUAGUAGCUAACACCUCGCAACUGGAGAGCGGCGCGGCCACGCCGUAAAACACCCAACUUCUGAAUGUUGACCUCGAAUCAGGUAGGAAUACCCGCUGAACUUAAGCAUAUCAAUAAGCGGAGGA